rnacentral:sRNA from 1 species
CAGUGCUGAGCCUGGAGACCUGACUCCUGGCCACUUGCUGGUCCAGCUCUCAUUACACUCUCCCUGUCCUCGUUCUGUGAGGGGCAGAGAGACAAAACUUAAAGAUGAAAGAACACACCGUCCAUCCCAGCAGCGCGGCUGCGUGCUUCUGUGUGGGCCCGUAAGUAAUUGCAGAGCUGUUCUUUAUAAGAUUUAUUAACCGGAAAGGCUCACCGGCAGGGGAGACAAGAGGCAAACAGAAUUGGCUUUCGUGCCAGCUCCUGAGGAUUCCAGUGAGAUGCCCUACGACUGUUGUCAUAGCUGGCAUGGGCUGAAAACCAGUGGCUCUGCAGGAAUCUUCCAGACCUUCUCCACUGAGUAAGGCUACUGAGCCACCCUUCCUUAUGUGGACCGAGCAGCUACGGGUUCUCAGCCUUUCCAGGAGAACCCUGACUGAUACAGUGACUGAGAGUCACUGCACCUUCUAAUGAAAAAUACAAGAUGGCAGAGUAAAUUCAAAUGCGACAAUCAAAAGGAAAAUGUCUUGUGAGGUUUGCCCUGGGACAUCAGCAUCACGUAGGGAAGAACGGAGGUCUAACUGUAAUAGAUGCGUAAGCUGAAGGAAUAAGAAGCGAGAUCUAUCAAAUGCAGUGAGCUGUGCAGUUUACCUAAGGUACAACAUACAUACGUCUAUUGAGACACGUGCACCUUUAAUAUAUAAGCCUAUGGUGGCCACUUCACACAGAACGAAGGGGACAAAUUCUUAUUUCAAAUUGCACGGCACAGAUUUGGAAACAGGCGCGAAGCAUUCAUGUUACUUGACCCAGUUACAGAGCUCCAUUAAUGGAACGGCGCGCCCUCCGACGUUGACGUUCUAACUCUGAGACUCAGACUUCUCUCCAUGCACGCUACUCCUCCCCCUCUUCCACAGAGGAGAGGUAUGGGUGGAACAUUUGGAUUACGUUUACGAUGAACAUCUGUACCCAUCAGUUUUAUGAGGGCUACGUAACAGGUCAUCUAGGAACAAUGAGAGUCGCUUUGCCGUCUGGAGAACUCAAACAUUGCUUCAAGAACCAAUAAGAGCCCCACGCUCUCUGCUGGAUGGACAGCUACCUUCCCAUACUUAACAAAUUUAUACCUCAAAACAAAACAAAACAAAACAAAACAAAACAACAAAUCAAAAAAACACC